rnacentral:rRNA from 1 species
GGAGUUAGCCGGUGCUUCUUCUGUGAGUUGAUGUCCUUCCUGCCGGCUAUUAACCCGCAGGCCUUCUUCCUCACUGAAAGUGCUUUACAACCCGAAGGCCUUCUUCACACACGCGGCAUGGCUGGAUCAGGGUUGCCCCCAUUGUCCAAUAUUCCCCACUGCUGCCUCCCGUAGGAGUCUGGGCCGUGUCUCAGUCCCAGUGUGGCUGAUCAUCCUCUCAGACCAGCUACGGAUCGUCGCCUUGGUGAGCCGUUACCUCACCAACCAGCUAAUCCGACAUAGGCUCAUCCGAUAGCGCGAGGCCCGAAGGUCCCCCGCUUUACCCCCGUAGGGCGUACUGCGGUAUUAGCCUGGGUUUCCCCCAGGUUAUCCCCCACUACCGGGCAGAUUCCUAUGCAUUACUCACCCGUCCGCCGCUCGCCACCAGGGAGCAAGCUCCCCGUGCUGCCGCUCGACUUGCAUGUGUUAGGCCUGCCGCCAGCGUUCAAUCUGAGCCAGAAUCGAACCCUGA